rnacentral:snRNA from 1 species
AGUCUCUGGUUUCUCUUCAGAUCAUGUAAAUCUUUCACCUCUUACUAUAAUUUUCCAUGGAGAGCAACAGGAAUGAGUGUUGAAGAAAUUUUGAGGCUUUAUUUCAGUGGAGAU